rnacentral:rRNA from 1 species
CCUACGGGAGGCAGCAGUGGGGAAUAUUGGGCAAUGGAGGCAACUCUGACCCAGCAACGCCGCGUGAAUGAUGAAGGUCUUCGGAUUGUAAAGUUCUGUGAUGGGGGAUGAACACAAUGACGGUACCCCAAUAGCAAGCCACGGCUAACUACGUGCCAACAGCCGCGGUAAUACGUAGGUGGCAAGCGUUAUCCGGAAUGACUGGGCGUAAAGGGUGCGUAGGUGGUUUAGUAAGUUGGCGGUGUAAUUCCGGGGCUCAACCUCGGCGCUACCGCCAAAACUAUUAGACUAGAGUGCAGGGGGGGUAAGUGGAAUUCCUAGUGGAGCGGUGGAAUGCGUAGAUAUUAGGAGGAACAUCAGGGGCGAAGGCGACUUACUGGACUGUAACUGACACUGAGGCACGAAAGCGUGGGGAGCAAACAGGAUUAGAUACCCUAGUAGUC